rnacentral:ncRNA from 2 species
GAAGGCGUCGGCGACUGGCGUUGGAUGGGAUUGACCAUCGGGGAGCGAAGUCUCGGCGUCGCACGCCUGGGCGCCGGAA